GACGAACGCUGGCGGCGUGCUUAACACAUGCAAGUCGAACGGAAAGGCCCUGCGUUUGUGCGUUGCUCGAUUGGCGAACGGGUGAGUAACACGUGAGUAACCUGCCCUUGACUUUGGGAUAACUUUAGGAAACUGGGGCUAAUACCGGAUAGGAGCUCCUGCUGCAUGUUGGGGGUUGGAAAGUUUCGGCUGUUGGGUGUGGACUCGCGGCUUAUCAGCUUGUUUGUGGGGUAGUGGCUUACCAAGGCUUUGACGGGUAGCCUGCCUGAGAGGGUGACCGGCGACCUUGGGACUGAGGGACGGCACAGACUCGUAAGGGAGGGAGCAGUGGGGAAUAUUGCACAAUGGGCGGCAGCCUGAUGAAGAAACGCCGCGUGCGGGAAGACGGCCUUCGGGUUGUAAACCGAUUUUGCCUGUGACGAUGCGUGAGUGAAGGUAAUGGGUACAGAAGCACCGGCUAACUACGUG
rnacentral:rRNA from 1 species